rnacentral:rRNA from 1 species
UACGGGGGGGGCAAGCGUUGUCCGGAAUUACUGGGCGUAAAGGGCUUGUAGGUGGCCAACUAAGUCAGACGUGAAAUCCCUCAGCUUAACUGGGGAACUGCUUCUGAUACUGGAUGGCUUGAGUUUGGGAGAGGGAUGCGGAAUUCCAGGUGUAGCGGUGAAAUGCGUAGAUAUCUGGAGGAACACCGGUGGCGAAGGCGGCAUCCUGGACCAACACUGACACUGAAAAGCGAAAGCCAGGGGAGCAAACGGG